rnacentral:lncRNA from 1 species
AAGAUUGACAAAGAUCAGGCCUGCACCCAUGCCUGACAUGUUGGAGGAACCGUCCAUGUAGAGGGCACAAAAACCAUCAGGGAGAUCAGCUUUUUCUUCAGGAGAGCUCGAUCGGAGCCCCGGGUCAUCGACUCCAUCUCGUCCAAGCUCGGCCUCCUCCAGGAUAGUGCAUUCCACCAUGAAGUCUGCUAGUAUCUGAGCUUUUAUUGCCGACCGAGGUCGAUAGUCGACGUCGAACUCCGUGAGCUCAAUUGCCCACUUCGCCAUCCUCCCAGAAGCAUCCGCUCGAUGCAAAACUAUCUUAAUCGGC